GGCAAGGUGGCCGAGCGGUCCAAGGCGCCACGUUAAGGUAUUCAACCCUUAAUCACAGUCCGUGGUCUCGAAAGGGGCGCGAGUUCGAAUCUCGCCCUUGUCA